rnacentral:lncRNA from 1 species
GAUAACAUGUAAAUGUUUUUAAAAUGGUAAAAAAAAAGAAAAGAAAAGAAAUCACAUGCUCAGAUCAAAGCUGUAGAGGAAACUGACAUAAUUAGAUUCAUGUGGUAGCUGAAUUAGGUUACCCACAAAGUCAGCAUUUAAAUAUUUGAUACUAAAGUUCUAGUAAGAAGGGAUUCUCAUCCUAGCUUUGCUGUUAACUGGCCUUGUGACCUUGGACAUGUCACAAGCCCAUGUCGGAUCUGUUUCUUCAUCUGUAAAAUGUGCAGCUUGCCCUCAAAGGCCUUGCAGCCCUUGGCACCUCAGAUUCUGUGGGAAGCAGUAGGACAGAGAGUGUGGUGGCCCACAGUUAAUAAUAGAACUAUGGUUAUUCCUGCUUUUUAAUAUUGGAGUAUUGAUUUUUCUCACUUCUGAAAUAAGGACAGAAUUUGAUUAAAAAAUGGAAACAGAAAUAUCUAUUUUUUAUGUAUAAAGAAACAUGUUUGAGACAAAAAUAGUUGUAUAUAAAAGGAUAUUUCAUAAUCUCAGAAUAGUUACAAAGCUCACUGCUUGAAUUUGGUGUUAAAAAUUCUAAUGGAAACAUGUAAAGCCACAUACUACUGAAAGCACAAUGCCCAGGAAAGUUGUCACUCUUCACUUAAGGGAGUGGUUGCCAGGGGCUGAGAAAGGGAGGAUGGGGAGUGACUGCUAAUAGGUAUGUGGUUUCUUUGGGCGAUGAUGAGAAUGUUCUGGAAUUGGAAUAGUGGUGAUAGUUGUAUAACUGUUUGAAUGUACUAGGAACCACUGAAUUGUAUACUUUGAAAGGGUGAAUUUUAUGGUUGUGAAUUAUCUCACUAAAAAAAAUGCUAGUACUUAGAGUGAUGUAACAUUUUGCAAAAUUUUCAUUUUCGUAUCCCUGCUGAUUUCAAACCUUCCCAUGGUUUAGAAGCAUAACCUGUAAUGUAAUGCAAGUCCCCUAACUCCCUGGUUGCUAACAUUAACUUCCUUAAGUAAUAAUCAAUGAAAGAAAUUCUAUGCAUGGUUUUGAAAUAAUAUCCUUGAAAGAGGAAUCACCAUUAGGAAAGGUGAGUCAGGGUCCUUUGUUUAAUGUGACUAGUGGCUCAUCAUCACCAGUGACCUGGUUGGGCCUACUCUCCUUCCAGAACCUGCAUUGCUUCCCAGACCUCCCCACUGAGAUGCCUCUAAGAGCCAAAGGAGUCAACACUUGAGCCUAGGGUGGGCUACAACAAAAGAUUCUAAUUUACCUUGCUUCAUCUAGGUCCAGGCCCCAAGUAGCUUGCUGAAGGAACUUAAAAAGUAGCUGUUAUUUAUUGUAUUGUAUAAGCUAAAAACAUUUAUUUUUGUUGAAUCGAAACAAUUCCAUGUAGCAAUCUUUUUUCUGUUCACGGUGUUUGUGAUAGAACCUUAAAUUCCGCAAGCAUCAGUUUUUUGAAAAAAUGGGAAUUGACCGGAUAGUUACAGGCAAAGAUUAUAAAUAGCUACAACAUCAUUUAACUUUUAUAAACAUGCCUUCUCUCUAUUGAAGACAUCUGAUAUUUUUGCUGGAAAGUUGGAUCUAUCCUCAGUAACUCUGCCAUGAAUUCCUGUUUCCUGGUUCCAGAAAAAGAAAAGAUUACAUUUCUGAUCAUAAAGAAUGUCUUGCAUAUGGGAAAUUUUUCAAAAUAAGGGGGGUAUUAUUUAUGUGGCAUGGGAAAACUUUUGCCAUGGCUGUUUGUCUUAGUGGCAUCUUUUGAUGACAUUGGAUCAGAUAUAUGUAGAUGCUGAUAUAUGGGACACAUGUUUAGGUUUUGGUGCAGUUGCACAAAACUGUGUUAGUUUAUAUGUUACUGUGUUGCCUUUAUUUAUUCUCUCCAAAGUGUCUCUUUAUAUUUGUUUUACAAUCUGUGAAAGAGUAUACCAUAAUACAGAAGUAUUUUCAUAGUCUUUACCUCUGGAUUGUCCUGUCAGUAUAGCCACGUUGAUGAGAUUACACCAGUGCCUUUGAUGGUCAACCAAUCAUCUUUAAGUAUUUGAGCCCUGAUAAAUAUUUUGGUAACAUAAUCCAAAUUAGAGACUUAGAGCUCUGGUUAGCAAUCAUGUUUAAAGAGAAGCUUCUUAAAGCUCUGUAUGCUGGGAGAUUCAUGAUUAUUACCAACGUUUUGAUUUCAUGAAGGUGUUCUCAAAUUUAAAGCACAUUUUCAGUAAGAACAAAAAUAUUUAAUGUUUUUAUCUUAGACUUGAUACAUUUGCAUAUUACUAUGGAAGUUAUUCACCUUGUCCCUGUUUUUCUUUAAGAUAUUUUAAAAUCAUAGUUAUACUACAGUCCUUUUUUAAAUGUAUCCUGAUACAUUGUAAAAUAUUUUAAUUUCAUUGUGGAAAAUAAUGUUGGAUAAGGAGAUAUUUUUCACUGUUAACUUUUAGCCCAUGCAUUUUCAUAAUUUAUUUUUUUCACUUGCUGCUUUAUAUGACAUAUGUGACAUUUGAUUAUUUAACACUUGAUGUGAUCUGCAUAAACCCAAGUUGCACAACCCUCCUGCUGAAGAUAAAAUUGAGGUUAAAGAUAAAGAUUUAUUUUCAUAUUUGUACAGUGAUCGGCUUCAGUGAUGGUUUUUGUGGGCAUUUAUUGUGUGUGUGUAAGAAAUUUCAUAUGUAUAUAUUAAGUAGGCCUCUGAGUAUUGAAUAAUUGUUUUAUGAUUUUGAUUUAUAUGGUUUACAUUUUCAUUGUGUGGGCCAUAUUUCGUUUAUACUGUUUAUUUCUCUUCAAACCUUAAUAAUUAUACCAUAAAGUGUAAUUUUUAUAGCAAUGCAAAUGUCUAAGGAACUACAAAUAUUUUCUACGUUGUAAAUUCAAUAAAGCUUGCUUCCUUUGGC